rnacentral:snRNA from 1 species
AUCCUUGUUAAAAGACACAAAGC